rnacentral:rRNA from 1 species
GACGAACGCUGGCGGCGUGCUUAACACAUGCAAGUCGAACGCUGAAGCUCAGCUUUUGUUGGGUGGAUGAGUGGCGAACGGGUGAGUAACACGUGAGUAACCUGCCCCCUUCUUUGGGAUAACGCCCGGAAACGGGUGCUAAUACUGGAUAUUCACUGGUCUUCGCAUGGGGGCCGGUGGAAAGGGUUUUUCUGGUGGGGGAUGGGCUCGCGGCCUAUCAGCUUGUUGGUGGGGUGAUGGCCUACCAAGGCUUUGACGGGUAGCUGGCCUGAGAGGGUGACCGGUCACAUUGGGACUGAGAUACGGCCCAGACUCGUACGGGAGGCAGCAGUGGGGAAUAUUGCACAAUGGGCGAAAGCCUGAUGCAGCGACGCCGCGUGAGGGAUGGAGGCCUUCGGGUUGUCAACCUCUUUCGCUCAUGGUCAAGCCGCAACAAUGGUUGUGGUGAGGGUAGUGGGUAAAGAAGCGCCGGCUAACUACGUG